AUUGAACGCUGGCGGCAGGCCUAACACAUGCAAGUCGAACGAGUGGCGGACGGGUGAGUACUGUCUGGGAAACUGCCCGAUGGAGGGGGAGAAAUACUGGAAAAGGUAGCUAUUACAGCAUACAAUCGGAUGUGCACACAUGGGAUUAGCUUGUAGGUGCGGUGACGGCUCACAUCGGCGACGAUCCCUAGCUGGUCUGUGAGGAUGACCAGCCACACUGGAACUGAGACACGGCCCAGACUCCUACGGGAGGCAGCAGUGGGGAAUAUUGCACAAUGUGCGCAAGCCUGAUGGAGCCAUGCCGCGUGUAUGAAGAAGGCCUUGGGGUUGUAAAGUACUUUCCGUGGGGAGGCGUUACCCGCAGAAGAAGCACCGGCUAACUCCGUGCCAGCAGCCGCGGUAAUUC
rnacentral:rRNA from 1 species